rnacentral:rRNA from 1 species
CUGAACGCUGGCGGCAGGCCUAACACAUGCAAGUCGCGCGGAUGAAGGGAGCUUGCUCCUGGAUUCAGCGGCGGACGGGUGAGUAAUGCCUAGGAAUCUGCCUGGUAGUGGGGGAUAACGUCCGGAAACGGGCGCUAAUACCGCAUACGUCCUGAGGGAGAAAGUGGGGGAUCUUCGGACCUCACGCUAUCAGAUGAGCCUAGGUCGGAUUAGCUAGUUGGUGGGGUAAAGGCCUACCAAGGCGACGAUCCGUAACUGGUCUGAGAGGAUGAUCAGUCACACUGGAACUGAGACACGGUCCAGACUCCUACGGGAGGCAGCAGUGGGGAAUAUUGGACAAUGGGCGAAAGCCUGAUCCAGCCAUGCCGCGUGUGUGAAGAAGGUCUUCGGAUUGUAAAGCACUUUAAGUUGGGAGGAAGGGCAGUAAGUUAAUACCUUGCUGUUUUGACGUUACCAACAGAAUAAGCACCGGCUAACUUCGUG